UGUGUGCGUGUAUAUAUUGUGGCAUCCCGCCACUUAAACCUCGGCCCGGACCAGCCCGAGGGUUGGUCCUGGAUGGCCGAUACCACCGUCACCCACCAGCCGGCGACGGAGAGCACCGACCGAACCCCAAUCAGCGCGAUUGGGGGACACCUGGCCGAAAGCCGAGGAGCCAUUGUUAAAGGAGCACGAGGACUGACAUUUGGGCAGACCAGGAACGGGAGCGAGGAAGGAGGAAGUGCUCAGGUCCGCGAGCAGCUUGAGGCCCAUGGAGGCCCUAGAGACCGUCUAUCAUGGAUAUUUAACUGCAGUUCUGUGAGUAUCCCAACUUAACCAUGAAGAUGAACUGCAAACUGUAAGUCAUUAAUUUCUCAUUACUUUUGGGCACAUUGAUGUAUUUUGGCUUCAUGGUGAGUUAACCUGUUACCUGAAGGUUGAUCUGAGUAAUAAGGAUGUUUUAUUGGUUCAUGGGUUACUUAGGUGUUUGGUUUAUGUUGGUUUUAAUGAUUUGUUAAAAUGUUUCAGGCUCCAAGUUAUUGUUGUUAGCUGGAGUAAUGGGUUGGGUUCUGAUAUCUUCAGUCUUCUUUCAUUCUACUCUCCUGAGCUCUGCAUCUUCAUCACAUGAGUGUUGCUCUACUGUGAGGGUGUGGUCUGAGUGAGCAGAGUUGCAUACUGGGAUACAGAGCUGUCUGAAGUCUACAGGUCUGUAGACACGCCUCCUCAGGGGAAACCGUGUGUUUGAGAAACUGUCGUGACGUCAGUUACAUGGACUGGAAUGUUCUUAAAGAUGCAGACAGGGAUUCAGAAGGAGAAUCACCAGGGGGAGAUGAGGGGGCUCCUCAUCUCAACGACUGAAACACAACUUCAGUCUGACACAGAACCAUGGAACACGUUCAACAGUCCCCUCCAGGCAUCAUGACUCCUCAGGAACAGUUUCAUUUCCAAGAAGGUCUUAAUUGGGGACAUUCCAAGAUGGAUCCUGCUCCUCAAGAGCCACCCCCCCCCUCCACUGGGUGGUCUACUGAACAGAUUACCUCCUUCCUGUCCUCGGGCUGACUAAAGCUGCACCGUUUGCAUCUGUGAAGGCCCCUCAUUCAGGAAACCACUGACUACAAAGACAUGACUUCAGAGACGUUGAAUCAACCUGGGACACAUUUUGGAGACGCCAAGCAUAAUCCAUCACCAAUGUGAGACGCCACUGAAGAAAGUUGUACAUAAUUUACGUCUCUGGAGACACUGGUUGUUCUGUUAUGGGUGCCCUGGCAGGAGAGCUGGGGGGGGGGGGGGGAGAUGGAAUGUUAUUUGGCAUGAGGUUUUUACCCUGCAUGAUUGUUUGGCCUUUUAUGGCUCAGUGGUGUGUGUGUGUGUGUGUGUGUGUGUGUGUUUGACAUGAGAUGGACGAUUUUUGAGAUGGACGAUUUUUGAGAAUCGCUAGGGUUCUGUGUGUGUGUGGGUCUCCCACUCACACCUGGCAGGGGGUUCAAAGUGCCUGUCCUGGGUUCUAUGUGUGUGUCCGGCUUGCUUUGACAGUGAUAAUGUUCAUACGGGGGUCUUUGUGAUUGGUGUGGGAUAUUGGAAUGGUCAACUAAAUCAUACCUGAUGGACGGCCACACGUUUACUUAAAGGCCUCCAGUAGACGUGAAGAGCCCUGAGCGACGCUCCGGAGCGAUAUCCAACACACUGGGCAGGAAGGAGAGUACCCAACUCAAGUGUAAAAGGAUGCAAGCGGCGUGUUCAGAUCAGUGACUUCAAACUAGGACUACACCAAUCAGGAUCAAUGGAGGAUGGACACCAAAAGGAAUUCCACAAGGAGAGUCUGACGUUGGAAAUGGACCUAAAUGGAUAUUCAAGAUGACCUUCAGACCUGUAAUGAGACGGCUCUUCCUACCUGGCUGGAUUGAUGGAGAGCCCUGUGGAUCUUGUCUUGCUCUCAGUUGCACGUCUUCUCGGGCUGAACUGUAUUUGUUUCGGACAGGACUAGCUGAACGAUUGGUUCCCUUAAAGCAGAACCAAUCCGGGAACUCCAGCUAGUGCGCUCUUCGAGCUGAAGUUGUGCUCUUCAGCUGAGGAGGUAAGGAAACCUUCACUGGGGCUUCAAGGUGUAAAGAGGGGAAUGUUUCAAGUGUUCCAUGGUACUCUGAUGAAGACCGUUGUUGUGUUCCACUGGCUGGGAGGAAGAACCCUCACAUCUUCCUCUUGGCCUUUCUCCUCUGAGAAUCCUGGCGCCAUCUUGAAGGAUAUUCCAGCUCAUGUAACUGAUGUCACGACAGAUUCUCAAACACUUGGUUUCUCCUGAGGGGCGUGUCUAUAGAACUGAAGACUUCAGACGGCACUGUAUCCCAGCAUGCAUCUCUGCUCACUCAGAUCACACCCCCAUGAGUAGGAUGCAACACUCUAGUGAUGGAGAUGUAGAGUUUUAUAAGUAACGAGGGAGCAGACUAAGGUGAUUAGAACACAAUGGAAUGUCAAGUCUGUAAAUCUUUAAACCAUGAAAAUGGUUGGAUAGUUGGAUAGUCACUGGACCUGUAAAUGUGUUGGCUGGCUGGCAUGAUUUGCUGUUGGUGAUGAGGCAGUCAGGGUGACGUUGCAGGGCUAUGGUCAGCUCUCUGUGAGCUCAACGUUUAGAUUUGCUCUGUAUGGUUUGUACCCUGAAUAAUUUAGAUAAUUGUAAAAUGUAGACACGGUUUUGUAUUGAAAGAUUCCAGGAUUUUAGGUUUAAAGUUGUUGUGGGACGUACAUGGUAGUUUGGUUCUUCGUAUGGUUUUGAGUGAUAUAACUUGUAAACACUGGGUGCAUAAUAAUAUAAAGGUACACUGAAUAGUAGUAAUUACCAACAGCAACAAACAGAUCUCCUCAAGGUAAGUCUGUUGGCUGUGUUUUAAUGAAGACCGUCGCUGGACGUCAGGAUCUUCCUCCGUUCAGCUCAAGGUGAGGCGCUGGUUCUGUUUUUUCUUUGGUUGGUUCCGGCCGGAAUGUUCGGAUUCCGGUCGGACGGUUUGUGCUUCCCGCCGUGGAAGGUUCUGAGUGCGGUCACUUGAUUUAGUCCCAAUGGUUAGCAUAGAACGUUGUAGUCUUGACAACCAUAAGAAACCACCUGGCAGUUAGUUGGACGGGAGUCCCCUGAGGGAAUCUGGCGUAACGUUCUGGAUUGUAUUUGCGUAACCUCGAGCCGUUGCCAACGGAAAUUUUUUUUCAGUCGGUUUCCAUUUGGAAUUGUUGCCCCUAUCUUAAACAACUUAAGUUUGAUAUUAAAUACAUACUGACACGUACGUCGUACAAUAUGUUAAUUUCCGAUGGUUGCGCCGUACUUUUAACCACGAUGACGUGACGGGACUCUCGCCGCGUACAAAACAGCGUUCUACUUGCGGGCCCAUUUUUGACAUCAGGGAAGGCUGAAAAUCAUUUCAAGGUGGAAGAUAAUUUGACAUUUCUUCAACGGAACCCAGCACCUGAAUAUGGCUGAGUAUAUUUGAUUUAAUAUUGAUACUGCUUAGUGUUCUUCGUUACUUCAGCUUUUGUACGUUCUAAAUAUCUGCUGUCAUUAAUUGCCACAGAAGUUAAACCCUACCCAAUGGAAUGACGUUAAACAACGACUUUGGUGCAGAGUUACUAAUUAAUAUCAAAGCUAAAAUAAUGGCCGUCAUUCCCACAUGUUACAGUAGAAGAUACUCUAGAACUGUACAAGGUUAAAAAGGUAACGUGUAGUUUGUCCCAAGGUGUCUGCCUCCUCACCCAGAGCAAGACCUCCACCUCCUCACCCAGUGCCAGACCUCCACCUCCUCACCCAGUGCCAGACCUCCACCUCCUCACCCAGAGCCAGACCUCCACCUCCUGUCAGAAGUCCUCCAGAACAGCUGAAAGGCGAGGCUGAGAGGCUGGGGACCGGAGGCUUGUGGUGCCAGGGUGGACCGGAGACUGAGGCUGGGGACCAGGGGCCUGCAGCACCGGACCAGAGGGUAACCAUCACCAAGCUCAUCUGAAACACUAAAAUCCACGGUAGUUUAGGUCUGGUUUUGAUCAUCUUAUGACUUUGAAUCUGUGCCAGGCUGUGUUUUGAGUUAAUUCAUACGGGGGUUAUGCAAGAGUCAUAUGAGCCAUUAAUGUUACUAGUGCUGCUACGACCGUAGUGGAUGAAUUGCUGAACGCGACCAUCUGCAGACGUUGUCUAAUUUAAGUGUUUAAAUUUGUCUUCCAUUUUACAAGUGAACCUCAGAUGCAGGAGGUGGGGUGUGAUGCGUCCCCAGGUGAUUUACUGCGGAGACCAACUGUGUUUGUAACCAGACCAGGAAUCCAUGGCUGAAGGAGCUGAUGGAGGAGCCAUGCUGAAGGAGCUGAUGGAGGAGUCUUGCUGAAGGCCCUGCCUUGUGGAGGAGCUGGUGGAGGACCUGCCUGGUGAAGGACAUCUGUCGUGGGACCAGGACUCUGUCUGAGGAGAGCUGCUGGAGGAGCUGAGUCGCUGGAGGACGACUAGGAAUCGACCAACAAGGAUUCCUC